AUGGGCGCCUGCCUGCCUAGGCCACAAAGAAUCCCGACCAAGGGAAACUGGUGGCACCGGGGCCAGGGCGAGGGCCCGCCGUCCCCCCUUGUUGGGCCGCGCAAGGCCUUGGUGCCACCCCACCCUCCAAGUGGGUUCCCCUCCUUGGCCAGGGCUGGCGGGCUAAGAGCGGCCCUUCCCUUCCACACGGCAAGGCGACGAGGAAGGGGAAGUGAAAGGAUCCAGGAACCAGGCAAGGGCCACCUCCGGGUUCCAGGGGGAGCCAAGAAAGAGCCUGACGGCACCCAGCCAGCCCCCUGUCUCAGGGGAGGGGCCUGGUGGGCACACCUCGAGCAAUCCUCUGGGCCCUCCAGGACGGCAACUGAGCACCGUGUCCGGCACGGGCUCAGUCCAGCCAGGCCCCGCUGGACGGCUCCCCGCACGGGGGCGAGAGGGGAGAAAAGCGGACGGAGCAACCGCGCCCUCUCUCAUCUGCGCCCACUCAGGGCACGCAGGACAGACGGGCCCGCGUGGCUGGCUCCACACACCAGCCCGGGUCUGGUCUGGGCCACGAGCGCACGACUGGGAACUGGCCCAUCCAGGACACUGGGUCAGAUUCUCCUGGUGGCCCGCCGGACUACACGGCAGACAACUCCCCAGCUGCCUGGGGGCACGGCACGGGUCCAGAACACGCUCGUGCCAGCGUCAGAGGGCACAUCGAGGACUUGUCCUCAGGCAGCGGCCACGCCUCCUGGACGCUGUCCCGGGAGCUCGGAGACCAGCCAACGCCAAGAGGAAGGCAAGGACGUCUCAGGAGAGGCAGAGGCACAGAGCACCACCCUCGCGGAGCCCAGCGUGCCCGCGCCUAAGUCCGCUGCGCACACUGGGCCACCAGGGGCAGUGGGGCACUCCACGCCGGGUCCCAUGAGGCUUCUGCACUCGCAGCCUCCGUGGCAACGCCAGGCAUGCGGGCUGGGCGUGCUGCACCAGACCCCCGGGGUCAUGGCGGGAGCAGACGUGGGGGGCGGGGAAGCCUACGCCCCUCCCACACGGGUCAGCAGACCACCACGCAGAGAAACGGACAACCUGCGGACAGGCCCAGGCAGCGUGCAGCCAACCAGAGAACCCGGGAGGACACACGGCCCCGUCUCGGAGCGCCUGACUCGCACCGCGGCCCCUCUCUCCCCAGGGAGCACAUCCUUCCCGGGCAGAGCCCCGAGGACGUCCCCGCAGCUCCAGAGCACAGGCCAGCGUUUCGGGACAAGGAAUCGCAUGGCGACACCUUCCCGGUCCCGGAGGCAAUAG
rnacentral:lncRNA from 1 species